AGAACGAACGCUGGCGGCAUGCCUAACACAUGCAAGUCGAACGAGACCUUCGGGUCUAGUGGCGCACGGGUGCGUAACGCGUGGGAACCUGCCUUUAGGUUCGGAAUAACUCUCCGAAAGGGGUGCUAAUGCCGAAUAAUGUCUUCGGACCAAAGAUUUAUCGCCUUUAGAUGGGCCCGCGUUGGAUUAGCUAGUUGGUGGGGUAAAGGCCUACCAAGGCGACGAUCCAUAGCUGGUCUUAGAGGAUGAUCAGCCACACUGGGACUGAGACACGGCCCAGACUCCUACGGGAGGCAGCAGUGGGGAAUAUUGGACAAUGGGCGAAAGCCUGAUCCAGCAAUGCCGCGUGAGUGAUGAAGGCCUUAGGGUUGUAAAGCUCUUUUACCCGGGAUGAUAAUGACAGUACCGGGAGAAUAAGCUCCGGCUAACUCCGCGCCAGCAGCCGC
rnacentral:rRNA from 1 species